CUACGGGUUGCACCAGUGGGGAAUAUUGCACAAUGGGGGAAACCCUGAUGCAGCAACGCCGCGUGGAGGAUGACGCAUUUCGGUGUGUAAACUCCUUUUAUAUAGGAAGAUAAUGACGGUACUAUAUGAAUAAGCACCGGCUAACUCCGUGCCAGCAGCCGCGGUAAUACGGAGGGUGCAAGCGUUACUCGGAAUCACUGGGCCUAAAGCGCGCGCAGGCGGCCUUUUAAGUUGGAUGUGAAAGCCUACGGCUCAACCGUAGAACUGCAUCCAAAACUACUAGGCUAGAGUCUGGGAGGGGAAGAUGGAAUUAGUUGUGUAGGGGUAAAAUCCGUAGAGAUAACUAGGAAUACCAAAAGCGAAGGCAAUCUUCUGGAACAGUACUGACGCUGAGGCGCGAAAGCGUGGGGAGCAAACAGGAUUAGAUACCCCUGUAGUC
rnacentral:rRNA from 1 species